AUUGAGCGCUGGCGGCAGGCCUAACACAUGCAAGUCGAGCGGAUGAAGGGAGCUUGCUCCUGGAUUCAGCGGCGGACGGGUGAGUAAUGCCUAGGAAUCUGCCUGGUAGUGGGGGAUAACGUCCGGAAACGGGCGCUAAUACCGCAUACGUCCUGAGGGAGAAAGUGGGGGAUCUUCGGACCUCACGCUAUCAGAUGAGCCUAGGUCGGAUUAGCUAGUUGGUGGGGUAAAGGCCUACCAAGGCGACGAUCCGUAACUGGUCUGAGAGGAUGAUCAGUCACACUGGAACUGAGACACGGUCCAGACUCCUACGGGAGGCAGCAGUGGGGAAUAUUGGACAAUGGGCGCAAGCCUGAUCCAGCCAUGCCGCGUGUGUGAAGAAGGUCUUCGGAUUGUAAAGCACUUUAAGUUGGGAGGAAGGGCAGUAAGUUAAUACCUUGCUGUUUUGACGUUACCAACAGAAUAAGCACCGGCUAACUUCGUG
rnacentral:rRNA from 1 species